CAACUGCUCUCUCUCUCUCUUGAUCUCUCCAAUCUCCUAUCGCUUGGCCAUGUCUCUUCUAGGGUUCCCAUUUCCGCCGCCUCCCGCCUUCCUCCUCCGCCGCCGCACCUCGCCCUGGCUGCCUCGUGACCCAAACCCGCCACCCCUCUGCCUCUCCCUCUUCCUCUCCCUCGUACUCUCGUCGCCUUCUCCACCUGGACAUGGACGCACCCGCCCCAUUGCGCACGUCUGUGCGUAUUUCCCUGGAACGUCCCCAUGUCGGGAUCCGCCGCCGGCAGUCACUCGAGCGGGUUGGGGGCAUGGAUGCAGCAGCCGCCCCAUUCCCCGCGUCAGUGCAUCCUCGCGUAACCCUAGAGCAUCUUCAAUGUGAGAUCCGCCGCUGCCCGCCGUCUUCACUGCUCGCACGAGCUGAGCCGGCGAGCCCUCGGUUGUCUGCUCCCUCGAUCCCGCCGCUCUCCGUGGUGCCAUCUGUUGUGAAGGCCGCUGUCCACCAUAGAAGGUCGUCGGUCAGUUUGUAAGGGACAUAGUAUAGCUCCUUGUUUACUUUGUUGGUCUGACCUUGAGGUAGUGUAUCUGAUGUCUUGAAUCUUGAUCUGAAAAGAAAAAAACAGUUUUUACAGAAGUAGCAUUUGCAAUUUAGUUAUAUUUUGUUUCAUAUGUAUUCCA
rnacentral:rRNA from 1 species